UUUAACAGUGGUGAAUUCGCUAAUAAAAGGUACUAGAUGUGGAUAUUAACCCAGAUAACCCUUAGAGUAAGCUGUUGUCUGGUUAGUCUCUUGCAUGACAGCUCUGCCCCCAUAUUUGUAUGUAGGGUGAAUAGAACAUGUGACUGAAGCGCUUCGGACCUUAAAUAAGGUAGAAAAGCACUAUACAAGUAUAAACCAUUUAUCAUAAGCCAUGAAUUUGAACUUCAUAUGAGUUUACAAAUUAUGACCUUGACAUGCAGACAAAUGAUGAUUGUAUAUCAAAGCCAAACAAAGAUUAUCCAUUUCAGUUCCUAUUUGGAUAUGAUUACUGCAUUGUCCCUCCUUAACCAAAACAUAGUACAUCCAAGUUCUUUCCCAUUAAGCACUUUUUUUGAUUUUAGGAUUAGUUUCCACAUGUCCAUGUUUUCUUUCUGUCUGCCUGAGGUUCACCUGCAUUGCAUUAAACAUUAAUGCAUCGCUGAAAUUAAAUAAUGUGAUUUUAGAGAUUUAGAGGGAUUUGUUUUGCCAAGAGGCAGUUGCUCCUCAUUUCCAUUCUCCUCUCACUCUGCAGGUGGUUUCAGAGAGCGCUCUGCUUUUUUUGCUGUGACUGACAGCUCAGAGGAACCUUCCGAUGACUCCUCUGCCUCUGUUAUGUUUCACCUCUCUCCAUCUUCUCUGCUUUAUUUUUGCUUUGAUGUGCUUUGUCUUUCUAUUAUACACGUAUGCCUUUGUCUAGCCUCCCCAGGGUACUAUGUGUCCCCCAGCUUGGAAAGUGAAGGAGCACUCCAAAAAAAGGUGGCUGGAUUAUCUUUCUCUUUAUUCUAUCACCUCCUCCAGGGUUCUUACAAAAACACACAGCUGGAGCCCCUGCUGAUUGACAGCUGCUGCAGUUCAUCAUGUCAACUUCUCAUGAGCAAUCAUUACUCAUAACCAUCUCUCUCAAGAGACAAACACGGGCAGCAUAAGCCCAGUCCCUUCUCAAAAAAAUCUCAGGGGGUUCAUCGACCAAAGGAUCAUGUUUUAAGUUUACUCAGUUAGGUUCUGUUGUGUUUUUUUAUAGCAAUAACUACUCAGUAGCUAAGGGUCAUAAAAUUGAAGCAAGAAAAAAAGAUCUACUAAAUUAGGUUCAAUUAAAUUAGAAUUGUAUUCUAUUUAAAUUCACUCUAUCCAACCCAUCUACCGUUAACCUAAUUCCAUUCAAAGAUGUUCCUUUUUACAGAGAUUUUUUGCAGAACCAGGAAGAGAACUUUGCAGAACAAAACACUGUCCAUAGCCCAGCUUUACUCUAAAAUGCAAUUACUAACUGUGGGAUAGAAAUCGGUUUAUAUUAUAUAUUAUCAAUACACAACCUGAGGUGCUGCUGUGGCCUGGAAUGGUUUCCUGUUCUGAAGAUUUGUAGAAGACCCAUGGUAAAGAUUCUCUUCCAUUGCAGCAGGAGAUUCUUACUGCAGGAUAGUUGCUUACUCGCCUUUGCUCAGUCAGCUUCUAAGACUCACUCCAAGAAAUUACUCUUUUUAACAUGCUUGUCUAGCUUUUUUCUCAUGAUGGAGAACAUAUAUAAAAAAAUUUAAGAUUAAAACAGUGUUUCUGAGUGUUUAUUUAUUCAAAUCGUUAUAAAUCAGAAGGAGAUAAAAAAAAUGGUGUUUGAAAAAGUAGCAGGUACUUCAGUUGACGGGCCACAAGCUCGCUGAUUAGAAGAUUUCCGUUGAUCGCGUAAGGAGUUGCGUUGUGUCAAAGAGAACUGUAGGUUUUGAUGGAGACAUCUCUGGUGUUAAAUGUUUAAAGCUUAAAAUGGGGGGGGAAACUGUCAUGGUGCCUCUGUCAGUCUGUCCUCCCCUCCCCACUCUGCUCUGCUUCCCUGAUUGGAUCCAGCUGUGGACGCUCACCUCAUCAUCCACCUGCCUUCAUAAGGAGAUCCAGUCCCAGCAUUCAUCGGCAGUUCGUUGCCUCUUAUGGACCAAUCACCAAGAGCUGUCCUCCUGGGUCUUUCCAUGUAUGAGCAGUCCAUUCCUCAUCCGCAAUCCUAGCCUCAAUCCACGCCAUGACUCCAGCCCAAGUCAAGAUUCCCAAGCCACGCCACAACUUCAAGCCAGUACUCCCGGUCGCCACACCAGUCUCAUCUCGCCAGCAUACAAUCAUCAACUUACUCACCCUCGGAUUCACGUCCAGGAAAAUAAAUCCAUUUAACUUCCA